rnacentral:rRNA from 1 species
ACGGGGUGCAGCAGGCGCGAAAACUUUACAAUGCACGAAAGUGUGAUAAGGGAACUCAAAGUGCUAGUACAUUGUAUUAGCUUUUUUCAAAGGUAACAACUUUGAAGAAUAAGUGGUGGGCAUGACCGGUGCCAGCAGCCGCGGUAACACCGGCGCCGCAAGUGGCAUCCAUGUUUAUUUGGCCUAAAGCGUCCGUAGCUGGUUUGAUAAAUUUCUUGUGAAAUCGAUAAGCUCAACUUAUCGACGUGCAGGAAACACUAUCUAACUUGGAACUGGGAGGAGUCAGAGGUAUUCCUUGGGGAGCGGUAAAAUGCUAUAAUCCUUGGAAGACCACCUGUGGCGAAGGCGUCUGACUAGAACGGAUUCGACAGUGAGGGACGAAAGCCAGGGGAGCGAACCGGAUUAGAUACCCGAGUAGUCCUGGCCGUAAACUCUGCGAGCUAGGUGUUGCACAUUCUUCGCGGAUGUGCAGUAUCGUAGCGAAGGCGUUAAGCUCGCCGCCUGGAAGUAUGUCGCAAGA